AGUAAAGUCAGCUAAUAAAGCUUUUGGGCCCAUACCCCAACCAUGUUGAUUAAAAUCCUUCCUUUACUA
rnacentral:tRNA from 1 species